UACGUGGGGUGCAAGCGUUAUCCGGAUUUAUUGGGCGUAAAGAGUUCGUAGGCGUCUGGUUAAGUUCCGUUUGAAAUCCCGAGGCUCAACCUCGGACCCGGAUGGAAUACUAAUCAGAUCGAGUCUGUUAGGGGGUACUGGAACUCAUAGUGUAGCAGUGAAAUGCGUUGAUAUUAUGAGGAACACCAAGGGCGAAGGCAGGUACCUGGGACAUGACUGACGCUGAGGAACGAAAGCUAGGGGAGCGAAAGGG
rnacentral:rRNA from 2 species